CGGUGCUUCGAUCUCCAGCGCUUCGAAAGCUCGACACAGUGUCGAAACCUGAGUAUCGAGCGUCCCAUCACUAGUGGGAGGUCCGUGAAUGAAGUACUAGAUAUCUACCGCGAGCAGCAGUUACUCUCUGUUUGCUCUUAUGAGACCCUCGUACUGAGACUUUUUCACGGCCAGAAGAUCAAGCAAAGGUGCAGAAGGUCCUGAAACUCCAAAUGUCCUCCUGCAGUCGUUUGAACCUCUGAGCUCUGAGGAGUUUUUACAGAUGUCAGUGCAAAGAGAGAUGGAUGAAAAUAAGAAGAGCUUCACUGCUCUGAUACGGUGCAUUGAGGAAGACCACAGGAAACUGACUGAGAGGAUCAGAGAACAAGAAA